GGUAAUAAUAUAAAGCAACAUAAUCUAUCUUUAUAUACAUAGGCCUAGUUAAAGACAAUCCAAACCAACAGCCAUCUGACCUAGGUAUGAAUAUCAAGCCCAAACCCUAAUCUACUCAUUCCUAAUGUGUCGUCUUCCUCCACCGUCGCCUCUCUCGCUUCAAGCCGAGACUCUCAUCUCUUGUCCACGGUCCUCUACGUCUCCGUCGUCUGGCCUCCACCCUCGGCAACAUUAUGGUCAGUAACACCCUCACAACCUCUAGCCCUCCCGUCGCAUCUCAGUCCUCUCGGUUUUUGCGUCCCCUACAAUCCGGUCAAGCGGUAACGCACUCACAACCUCUGGCCCUACCGUCGCAUCUGAGUCCUCUCGGUUUCUGCUUCGCCUCCCUCCUACGCCAACGCCCUCAGAUCCAUAAAACCUCCAAGGCCGAGGGUUGUGAAAACUCCAUAAAAACCUUUGCUUCGUGGUUCAGGCAAACAAUCUAGUCAAAAUUUUCCAAAAAGGUGAAACUCUUUACAUGCAAUCUAUGUACCUGAAAACUAAGAUAAAGAAAUCGAGCUUAAAAAGACAACUGAAAAGAUCAGCAGAUGUUAAUGAAGAAUUUCCGAAGUCUGGAAAAGUCUUGAGAAAGAGAAAUAAGAUAGAUCUGCUCAUACGAAAAUUGUGAUAAUUUCCAAUUUGGUGGCUGCCUUGUUCAUACCUCAAUUUGGUGGUUGCCUGGAUCUACAUUUGCUUUGCUUCAAAACGAAUAGGAUUUGAGAUAAAGAAUAAACACAAAUGAUAUAUCCUCAUCAUCUACCAUGGGUUUUGCAAGUGUAAAGCUUUCUGAUCUCCUUAUAAGUCUGUGCCUUCAUCUCCACUGAUGAUAGUGCUCUGACUAAGGCUGUGGAAUAGGUUGUAGAUGUUUUCCUGACUAAGGCUGUGGAAUAGGUUGUAGACGUUUUCCCUUGGCCGGCUCUGAUUCGGCCGGUAACUUCCUCCCCGGCGAGGCUUCUCUUCUUGCGUCACUGCUACCCUGCACAGGAUGCCAACAACAAUUUUCCUUGCUUGCCAACAGCUACAGAGAUGAGUUGUCGGCUUCCCACCGCGUGACCGCCUCGAUGAGGCGGAGAAAACUGCCGGUUCAGAUCAUCGGAACAUUGUACGCAAGCCUGAGAAAAAAAUCCAUUUGAAAGAGAUGCAAAACAGAGAGAAAGGGAGGAAGGAUACAAUAGGAAAUAAAAUAUAAAAUCUAUUCCUGAGUACUCAGGAAUAGGUUAAUACCAGGGCGGCCCUGGUAAUAGCUAUUACCUUAUUUGAGGUAAUAGGCUAUUACUAGAAAUAUUAUUCUUGGUAAUAGAA